rnacentral:misc_RNA from 1 species
AGAGCAGAAGCAGAAAACAACGAACUGAAGCACAUCACAUGUAGCUACUAAACAGCAUACAUACGGACAUACGGUUACUGAGUUAAACAAAUUGUUCGACACGACGACAUUAAUAUAGUACCAAUACUUCAUAAGUCAUCAUGCAUGAACCCAAAAUAACAUGGAAACUGAAAACUAGGCAACGGAACAUUAUCUAACAACAACUAGGUACUAGUGUGUGAGUACGUCUGCACUGCAGUACUAGCUGCGCACAUAAAAGCAAAGUAGCAAACCAAUCAGUGGAGCAUCAAGCCCAUACCAACAAGCGUAGCCAUGGCGACGCCGGCGGCGGCAGCGAUCGCUGCGUCAACAGCGGAGGAGGAGGCGCCGUCGGAGCACCCGGACGGCAUCCCGGGGCGCGUCAUCGUCGGAACUCCAGGGCCAGGCGCGGGCGCCGCGGCCAGGGCCGCCGGGUGCACCAUGACGCGCACGAUGAGCCUCUGGCCUUCCUCGCAGUGCCCUGGCUCGCCGCUGAUGAAGCAGAAGAAUCCCGGGCGGUGGAGGCGGAACUCGGUGGCGCCGCCGGCGAACGCGGCGAGCGGCGCGCUGGCGUUGCAGGCGUCGAAGGCCAGGCGGUUCACCACCAGCACCGAGUCGUCGUUCGCGUACUUGAAAUCUGCGAGAGGAACGGAGGAUGUCGAAAUGGAUCCGUGCGCGUCAUGGUCGGAUUGUUGUCGAAAUGUGGGAGUUAGGCUACUGGUGCUCACAGAGGCGGUCGCCGACGUGGAAGCGGUUGUUCAUGGCCCACCAUCCGUAGCUGGUGUUGGCGUCCGGGACGCGCCACCCGCGCGGCCCGCCCACGCGGAACUCCAGCCCCGGCGGCGCGGCUGCCGCCUCCGCGGCGACGACGCCAGGGUCAGCGACGAGGAGGAAGGAAACGACGCCGGCGAGGGCCAGCGCGGAGAGAAGGCGGGAGCUUCCUGCCGCCGCUGCCGCCAUGGAUCUAGCGGUGCACUGCACUCACGGUGGGAGCUAGCUUCCUUCGCGCGUGGUGCGUUGCGUGGGG